CCCAGAUUGAUUCAAUUUGUGAAGAAUGUUUUAUUCUUAAUCAGAUUUCGUUUGUUGCCACUCGAAAUGCUCACGCAAUUCACUACAUCAUACUUUAAAAAUCGUUAAAUUUACCGGCAAAUUCGGCAGCCUACUAUAGCAGACGAACCAAUAGCACGCUUGCAUACUGAUGAAGCGAUGUCAUGUCAUCAACCAAUCCGAUUUAGCUGCAUUGAGCACCGCUGUUGACACAACGAAGAAUGGCAUGGAAGCAGCGACGCUCGGCCGUAGACAGUAUGCAGUGAAAGCUGCGAGGCACUAAAUAACAAGCAGAAGACAGAUUCCACUCCACAGAUUUAGGCUUCAGCUUGUUUUGAGGCUGUGCAUCCUCACGAUCCCCGGCCCACAUCAUCAACAAGUGAUCAGUGUCCACUGCAGCAAGGUGUGCACAACCUCACUCCUGUUACAGGAACAGAUUCAAAGUUCAAGAUCCACCUUCACACUCAUGCAUUGCAUGUUUGACACCAAACUUCUUUUACAUCUCUUUUUGAAUUAAACUGCCUUCUCUCUUCGUU